rnacentral:rRNA from 1 species
GAUGAACGCUAGCUACAGGCUUAACACAUGCAAGUCGAGGGGCAGCAUGGUCUUAGCUUGCUAAGGCUGAUGGCGACCGGCGCACGGGUGAGUAACACGUAUCCAACCUGCCGUCUACUCUUGGCCAGCCUUCUGAAAGGAAGAUUAAUCCAGGAUGGGAUCAUGAGUUCACAUGUCCGCAUGAUUAAAGGUAUUUUCCGGUAGACGAUGGGGAUGCGUUCCAUUAGAUAGUAGGCGGGGUAACGGCCCACCUAGUCAACGAUGGAUAGGGGUUCUGAGAGGAAGGUCCCCCACAUUGGAACUGAGACACGGUCCAAACUCCUACGGGAGGCAGCAGUGAGGAAUAUUGGUCAAUGGGCGAUGGCCUGAACCAGCCAAGUAGCGUGAAGGAUGACUGCCCUAUGGGUUGUAAACUUCUUUUAUAAAGGAAUAAAGUCGGGUAUGCAUACCCGUUUGCA